rnacentral:rRNA from 1 species
GACGAACGCUGGCGGCAUGCCUAAUACAUGCAAGUCGAACGAGCUGACAGAGUGCUUGCACUCUCGACGCGAGUGGCGGACGGGUGAGUAACGCGUGAGAAACCUGCCUUUCACAAAGGAAUAGCCUCGGGAAACUGGGAAUAAUACCUUAUGAUACUUCUACUUCACAUGAAGAAGAAGUUAAAGCGUAAAGCGGUGAAAGAUGGUCUCGCGUCCCAUUAGCUAGUUGGUGAGGUAAUAGCUCACCAAGGCGACGAUGGGUAGCCGGCCUGAGAGGGUGAACGGCCACACUGGAACUGAGACACGGUCCAG